GGCCUCGUGGCGCAACUGAAUAGCGCACUGGAUUUCGGCUCCAGCGGUUGUAGGUUUGAAUCCUACCGGGGUCACGA
rnacentral:tRNA from 2 species